UACGGAGGGUGCGAGCGUUGUCCGGAAUCACUGGGCGUAAAGGGCGCGUAGGCGGCCUGAUAAGUAGGGGGUGAAAUCCUGCGGCUUAACCGCAGGGCUGCCUUCUAAACUGUCAGGCUAGAGCACAGUAGAGGCAGGUGGAAUUCCCGGUGUAGCGGUGGAAUGCGUAGAGAUCCGGAGGAAGACCGGUGGCGAAGGCGGUCUGCUGGGCAGUUUCUGACACUGAGGCGCGACAGCGUGGGGAGCAAACAGG
rnacentral:rRNA from 1 species